AGUGAACGCUGGCGGUAGGCCUAACACAUGCAAGUCGAACGGCAGCACAGUAAGAGCUUGCUCUUACGGGUGGCGAGUGGCGGACGGGUGAGGAAUACAUCGGAAUCUACUUUUUCGUGGGGGAUAACGUCGGGAAACUUACGCUAAUACCGCAUACGACCUACGGGUGAAAGCAGGGGAUCUUCGGACCUUGCGCGAUUGAAUGAGCCGAUGUCGGAUUAGCUAGUUGGCGGGGUAAAGGCCCACCAAGGCGACGAUCCGUAGCUGGUCUGAGAGGAUGAUCAGCCACACUGGAACUGAGACACGGUCCAGACUCCUACGGGAGGCAGCAGUGGGGAAUAUUGGACAAUGGGCGCAAGCCUGAUCCAGCCAUACCGCGUGGGUGAAGAAGGCCUUCGGGUUGUAAAGCCCUUUUGUUGGGAAAGAAAAGCAGCAGGUUAAUACCCCGCUGCUCUGACGGUACCCAAAGAAUAAGCACCGGCUAACUUCGUG
rnacentral:rRNA from 1 species